UACGAAGGGGGCUAGCGUUGCUCGGAAUUACUGGGCGUAAAGCGCACGUAGGCGGCUUGUUAAGUCAGGGGUGAAAUCCUGGAGCUCAACUCCAGAACUGCCUUUGAUACUGGCGAGCUUGAGUUCGGGAGAGGUGAGUGGAACUGCGAGUGUAGAGGUGAAAUUCGUAGAUAUUCGCAAGAACACCCGUGGCUAAGGCGGCUCUCUAGUACGGUACUGACGCUGAGACGCGAAAGCGUGGGGAGCGAACAGG
rnacentral:rRNA from 1 species